GGGGAUGUAGCUCAGCUGGGAGAGCACCUGAUUUGCAUUCAGGGGGUCGCAGGUUCGAUUCCUGUCAUCUCCACCA
rnacentral:tRNA from 5 species